rnacentral:rRNA from 1 species
AGCGAACGCUGGCGGCAGGCCUAACACAUGCAAGUCGAACGAAGUCUUCGGACUUAGUGGCGGACGGGUGAGUAACACGUGGGAACGUACCUUUUGGUUCGGAACAACUCAGGGAAACUUGAGCUAAUACCGGAUGAGCCCUUAGGGGGAAAGAUUUAUCGCCGAAAGAGCGGCCCGCGUUAGAUUAGCUAGUUGGUGAGGUAAAGGCUCACCAAGGCUACGAUCUAUAGCUGGUCUGAGAGGAUGAUCAGCCACACUGGGACUGAGACACGGCCCAGACUCCUACGGGAGGCAGCAGUGGGGAAUCUUGCGCAAUGGGCGAAAGCCUGAUCCAGCCAUGCCGCGUGAGUGAUGAAGGCCCUAGGGUUGUAAAGCUCUUUCGUUGGGGACGAUAAUGACGGUACCCAAAGAAGAAGCUCCGGCUAACUUCGUGCCAGCCGCCGCCGUAAAAC